ACGGAGGGUGCAAGCGUUAUUCGGAAUUACUGGGCGUAAAGGGAGCGCAGGCGGUGCGGUAAGUCUGAAGUGAAAUCCCGGGGCUUAACCUCGGAAGUGCUGUGGAAACUGCCAUGCUCGAGUACGUGAGAGGUGGGCGGAAUUCCAGGUGUAGCGGUGAAAUGCGUAGAUAUCAGGAGGAACACCGAUGGCGAAGGCAGCUCACUGGGACAAUACUGACGCUGAUGCACGAAAGCGUGGGGAGCGAACAG
rnacentral:rRNA from 1 species